AUGAAAUACAGCAGGGAGAGGGCCCUUUUGUUGGCCUAUGAAUUUUCUGCGCCUUUUUUUGUGUGGUUCUGCUUCGUGACUUUAACCCGCGGGCUUUUGACACCGUGCUCAGCAGCACGCACCCUCAGUCCGGUGACCUUUCGGUGUCACCAGCUCCCACCGCGCGGCAAGCUGUCUGCGCCCAGCGCCCCGGGACAAGGGGACAAGGGGGCACCCAGCCUUCAGGCAGGAGAAGCGGUCACCGCUCUGCAGCCUGGAGGAGCUGGAGGACGUGGAUGGAAGCCUCUGACCCCGCUGUUUGCUGCAACCACUCGGGAGACUUUCCUCUGCAAAAAGGCACAAAGUAAGCAACGCAGCUUCCUCCUCAUGCGUGCCCGCUGUGUCCCUGCUAACCCUGUUUCCCGCUGGGGGAAGGCAGGAGAGGUGGUGGCCCCCUGCCUCCCCUGGGAGCCCUGCCCGCUGCAGCAACACCUCCAUCAAACCGGGUGCUCGGCUGUGCAUCCAGCAGGAUGUCCCAGCUUGGUGGUGGAGAACAACAGCAUUUUAGGAGCAGGCGGGGUUUGGUUUGCUUUUGCUGGGUGGGGGUUUGGCCCCGCACCCACUGGGGCUGCUGUUGUGAGCAGGUUGGGUGCUGGCUGCCUGCAGCACCCCGCUGAGGAUGGGGCACCCACGAGCACGCACUUCUCUCAAAGUGAGAGCGCAGCGAGCAGGGCCCGCAGCGUGUGCCUAGAGCAUGACAGCAAGCAGAGGGCAGGUGAUGCUGACAGCACAAACUCUUCAGAAAGCACAAAACACACUGAUAAUGCCACCUUAACCUUAAUAGUGGUGGCUUCUGGUUCAUUAUACUCCGUGGAGGGCACGGCUUAAGACUGUUUGGCUUUUAUUUAUUUAUUUAUGGUUUGAGUAAAUAAGGUCAAUAAGCCCUGGCUCUAAAGCUCGUCUUUUUGAUGUUGUCCACGCUAAUGACCCCAGGCCUAGGUUUGGGAUUUCUUUGGUGAGCUGCUUCCCUCCCCCCCCCUUCCAUAUUGCUGUUUCUGUUGGAUUUGAAAGCGAGGCCAGGAGGAGCUUCCUGCCUUGUUCCGGAGCAUUUAAGAUGUGCACAGGGUGCAAGGACGGCGUGUGCCCCUCGGCUGGGUGAGGUGCUGGGCUCUGCCCCGGACCCCCAGCAGCCCUGUUCCCCCCAGGAGCUCCGUGCCAUGGCCACGGCUGUGUCCUCCCCAACAGACAGCACCCCAGCACCUUUCCAGCUCCCUCCCAGAAGCGGAGCCAGCAGUGUUUGCCUGGAUUAAAAUAGCACACAGAUUUACUGUGCUUUUGUUUUUAAACGCUUGACUGCAUUAGCAUUGAUUUAUUUUUAAUACAACCAACCACCUGCAAUUUGACUGUUACUUUUGUUCAUUCUUUUCGGUGACUGUAAUUGCAGCGUGGUUCUUCAGCAGCCCCCAGCCCCGACACCCCGGGCAGCGCCAGGUAUUGGUGGCAGGGAGCAGUGGGCAUCUGCGACACGCUGCUCCGUCCCCAGUGCCACUGAGCAGCUCCUUUAUUCAUUGCUCACAUGGCUGCACGCGUCAUACGGGCUAAGGAGAAGGAAAAAGUGUUUUCUUUUCUUUUUGAUCUGAACAGGCCCUCAUCAUCCUCUGCGAGGAGCACCGUGGACACUUGUUUCCUGCCUGCAGGGCUGGGAAGACAGCAGCGAGGCUCGAGGACACCGGUGAGGACGGCAGACCCCCAGGGCUCCCAACGGCGCCUCGAAUGCUCGCUCCUGAACCGCUCUCACCGAUGUUCCGAAUCACCUUGCGCAUACAGUGAAACUACAGGCAGGAGCUCGCUAAGCAAGUGAGCCCCUCCUUUAAUUCCAUUUGCUUACGCUGCUUAUUUUUCUCCCACAUAAUUAUUUUAAAAGGAAAAUUUAAUUUUGUUUAAUGGGAACAAAGUUUAACACUCCAUAAGCUUUGUCUUCUGCAGCCCUCCAUCUGGUUAGCUUUUUUUCUUUAAUUAUUUUUAAACUGGCCCAGUAAAUUGUGUGUGUUUAAGAGGCACUUCUCAUUAAGAUGAAAUACUUUGAUCUCAUAGGAUCAUCUCUUUUUAAAGACAUGAUGAUAUACCACAAUUUUUUCCCCAACUAACCCAAUUUCAAUACGAAUAUAUCCCCCACCUGCCCAGCACACGCACAGGCGGGGACGUGUGCUGCAUUGCAAGCUGGAGGCAGCAAUCAGAGCUGGCAGGGAGGGAAAAGGGGUCAGGAAAAGAGCUCUGAGUGGGCACAGCAGGGACCAUUAAGAAGUAAGUGGCAAAUCAUCUCAGGAAAAGGAAACAUUUAAUUUUUAUUUUUUAAGUACAGAUGGUGUAGGAGGGAAAAAAUGGCUGCAAGAAGACCAAGAGACAUGGGUGCACUAUAUAUAGAUGUACAGCUGUUUCCUUCAGGUGUUAUAACUCAAAAACGUAGGUUGAUUAAUUUUGAAAGUUGAAAUGUAUAGCAGAUUCUGAUUACAUCUGAGUGUCUAUAAUUUAGCUACUUAGUAAAAUUAACUUGACGUUUUUAGUGAGCUGUGAGGACAAUAAUGUGUGAAGAGACUGAAGAGCAAGUUUGACUGCAUGCUCUUCCCUUACCUCCCCCCCUUUUCAAUUUGCAAAGUUUAUUUUUAACUUUUUCAAUUUUUUCCAGCAUCUUUCCUCUAAUACAGACAAAUGAGUUUGCUUCCCCCUGCUGUCAGCUGAAGACAGCGUUUUGGUUUUGAGCCUUUCUCAUGAUGGACUGGAGGUGGAAGUGCUCAGCAGCCAGAACCCAGGAUGGAGCUUCAGGCCAGGCCAGGUAGGGGCCAGCUGAGGCUGGGAUCUCCAAGGCAUGUAACGUUUAUUAGAGCAUGAGACCUGCACGAAGGCACAGGGACCCCCAGUUAAAGCCCUUUUUGUAAGUCAGAGAAAGCCCAUUUUUGUGAACUUCUCAAAGGCAGGUCAUACCAGGGAGCCCGAAAGUGCAGGGCAUUGUUGGUCUUCUUUAACAAAAACUCACUCAUGUGCACUAUAGUUGUAGGGAGAAAUGGCUGUGUGGGAGGACGGGCUAUGACAUCCCAUCAGUUCUGAGGAGCAGAUUACCUGCAGCCCCUGCGAUAGCUAGCUGUUGGGCUGGCGCUCGCUCGGCACUUUGGUGUGCAGAUCUGCCCAAAGGGAGGGUGCAGCAGCUCCAGCCUUUUAGUAUCAAGCUGGAAUUCAGAGAAAAGUGAUAAAAGGGUGACUAUGUGCUAUUCAGAGUACUACAUCUGAUUAUCAACUACUGUUGGGAAACCAAUUGGAACAAACAAAAGCUUUAGUGGGGAGAGGGGAGCUACUGCUGUAGUACCAGACCUGGCAGCGGCUCGCAGCCCUCAGCCAGCCCCGUGGCUGUAACAGCCACUUCCACAGCCACGUUUCAACAAGCACAAAUUCAUUUUCUGUGAAAGACCAUUGCAGUUGGCUGUUCUCCAGAGAGCGAUAUCAAGGACCCAGUAUAACCACAGCCCUGUGCUGAGGUUUCCCAGACCUGGCGCUCGCCUUCCUGGAUGACGAGGGCGAGUCAUCUUCUAUAAUGGGGACAUCAUCAACUUGAAAAAAGCAUCACUCUUUGUGAAAUUCACUUAGUUCAACAGGGCCAUGAUUGCACAUUAAGUCUACUUUUGUAGCCAACAACCACUUCCAGUUACGGGCUUGUUAGGGUUAAACUAACCAAUUUUCCCUUGGUCCUGGUGUGCCCCUGACAGCAGGCUGCAUGUAGUGGGCUCGAUCGAGAGUGGAACUGGAAAGGCACCGGGCAGGACGAGGGGAGCACAGGAGCAGCACAAGUAAGCAUGUUCUAUUCCGGUGUUCUCUGGCCUGGCCAAAGGAUUGCUAUGUGAUAUAUCAACAUGGGACAUAAAAAAAAAAAAAGUAAAAGAUUAAUUUAAGAAACAUUUUUCAGCACUUCUAGUAGAAAAAUGGAUUUCAAAACUGUUUGGCUUUGUCCUGUCUGUGACCUUCUGUUCUCUUGGUAGAGACUUGGGGAGCAAAGAGGGAAAGGCAGUGUUUCUGCCAACAGCAAACAGCCUUUUGAUCAUGACUCCUUGAAAGCAAGUUUCCACCAUCCAAACUCAGCCCUGACAAGCACUUCUGCCGCACCUAACAACUGCAGCUGAUAAGGGCUGGAGCAAUCUUAGUCACGGGCAGGAAAGAAGUGAGCUAUGCCAGCCAUUAUGAAGAUUUCAAUCCCUUGAUGACUUUGUUCAAUAAGUGCUCAAAGUUCUGGCGUUUCAAACAAAACAACACAAACAGAUUGGUGAGUAUUUUAAAAUUUAAUUAAUUGUCUGAUUUUGAGUAAUAUUUUCAGACCUAGCAUCAGUCUAAGUUUCUAACAGGGCAAUGAGAAAGCUCAGAAUCAAACAGCUUCCAGAAGAAUCUUCCAGAUAAGAUUAAAAUGAUUUAAAAUAUUGAACAUUUUACAUAUUAUUAUAAAAUGAUGGCAGCUGGCAGAACUAUUUUUCUUUAACCUAUAUUCUGUAAUUUCAGCAGUGGAGAAAUAGUUUGGAAGGUGGGUCAUGCUCUUGAUUCUUUGAGGACCUGUUUGACUACAACAACAAACAGCUGCAUAACAUACAAAUAUAAAAUUUCAAACGAGCCAACUUUUAAAAAAAUCUGGAUUUUUCUUCAAUACCUCCAGUACCUUGUUUCUGUAAUAAAUAUUAAAAACCAUCAUCUUUUACA
ensembl:lncRNA